ACGUUGAAACAUUGGUUCUCGUACGAUCACCGCAGUUAAGCAGCGUCGACCCUGGUUAGUACCUAGAUGGGUGACAGCUUGGGAAUACCAGAUGCUA